GGAGGGCUAGUCUAAUUGGUAAGGCAGCUGACUUGAAAUCAGCCGACCGAAAGGUCUUCGGGGUUCGAGUCCCCGGCCCUCCGUCA
rnacentral:tRNA from 1 species